CACAUUUCAUCUUCAUCUCUUUUCUUCUUCUUUUUCUUUUGACCAAUGAGUUAAUGAUUUGUGGUUAGCCUUGACAUAUGAGAGGCUUAACCUUCUUUGAUCCAAAUCAAAUUCAACUUGAUCAAAGAUCAAGUGAAUUGCUUUGUGUCCAAGAUAGGUUGCUUCUUGGUCAAGCAAAAAACCUAAAAUCCAUACAAGGUCA
rnacentral:lncRNA from 1 species